rnacentral:ncRNA from 1 species
GCGCGAGCAGGUGCGAAAGCAGGUCAUAGUGAUCCGGUGGUUCUGAAUGGAAGGGCCAUCGCUCAACGGAUAAAAGGUACUCCGGGGAUAACAGGCUGAUACCGCCCAAGAGUUCAUAUCGACGGCGGUGUUUGGCACCUCGAUGUCGGCUCAUCACAUCCUGGGGCUGAAGUAGGUCCCAAGGGUAUGGCUGUUCGCCAUUUAAAGUGGUACGCGAGCUGGGUUUAGAACGUCGUGAGACAGUUCGGUCCCUAUCUGCCGUGGGCGCUGGAGAAUUGAGGGGGGCUGCUCCUAGUACGAGAGGACCGGAGUGGACGCAUCACUGGUGUUCGGGUUGUCAUGCCAAUGGCACUGCCCGGUAGCUAAAUGCGGAAGAGAUAAGUGCUGAAAGCAUCUAAGCACGAAACUUGCCCCGAGAUGAGUUCUCCCUGAGACUUUAAGUCUCCUGAAGGAACGUUGAAGACGACGACGUUGAUAGGCCGGGUGUGUAAGCGCAGCGAUGCGUUGAGCUAACCGGUACUAAUGAACCGUGAGGCUUAACCUU